CCCCGACUCCAGCGGCCUGGGGGAUUCGCUCUCCCCGGCCGGAGCCCCUUCCACCCCACUCCAGUGCUUCCCGUCUCAGCCACUGGAGAUCAGGUCCGGUGAGGAGGGGGAAGAGGGGUCCAGAGAAGCCUGGUGGCCCUAAGAGCUUAAUAGGCUCUCUGCCUUCUUGCCCCUUCCAACCUCCCCCUGCCCGCGUGAGCCCCUGGCCGCUCGGCCUUACCCAGGAUGGCAUCAACAGGACUCUCGCUCGGAGAGGGAAGUGCCAAGACGCUUCCUUCUUCCUGGACGUUUGCUUCUCCUGCCCAGACCCCCCUCCCAGAGGAAAAGUGGCUAAGGAGAUGGCCAAUCUCAAGUGCAAGUUGUGCAUUGCACAACUCCAGGGGGCACCACUUCUGCAGUCUUCGUAGAUUUGCGUAGCCCUUGUGACAGUUUUCCAGCAGAUGGCACUCAAGCGUUUGAGGAAGGGGUACUAAUUCACCCUGUGUUGCCCGUGUCAAGGUUGGCUAGGCCCCCUGGGAGAUGUCAUUGGCGCCUGUAUCCCCCACCUUUGGCCCCAGUCCUGCUGGGAUUGGAAGGGGUUCUUGAGCAGCGUUUGGAGCAGGGACUCACCUCCUAGAUUGUCUCCCCAGGAUUUACCCGCCCUCCCCCACAAAGGUUUCUGCCACCCUGAAGCUGGUUUCAGGGUAAGGGCGCCUGUCUAGGCAUAAUUGGUGACCCACUGUGGAUUCUUUGGGCUUGACCUGGAAAGCAGCAGGGCAGCCAUGCUAAAGUGCAGAUUGGAGGCCCUCUUCCUGCCCCCUCUCCCAGGGCAGGGGUCUUUCAGUCUCCCAGGAAUGGGGCCUUCUCCUACUUUCUGCCCGCUCCAGGUGAGAGGAGGAAGAGGGGCUGGAGGCCGGACCUGCGAGGAAGGAACCAAAAGUUGCGAACUGACGACACCUACUGGCAGCCGUCAAGACUGCAGAAGAGUGGGAGGCUUGGGGCUGGGAACGAGACUCUGGGAUUCUCUCCGUGCCAUCUCACAGGCCAACUGGGAUCUCUUCUGCCCUGUCUGCCUUGCAGAAGGGCAAAGAGAGCCAGGUUCCUCUAGUCCCUGGGGGAAGCCCAACCUGUCCCUGCAAACUGCCUCCAGCCCUCUUCCCUUCCUUUACCUAGUGGACCCAGUGCUGCCACCAACUUGUUAUGUGAAGCUGGUCACCACCCCCUGGAGCUCAAAUGUCCCUACCUAAAAUGAAGAGAGCAAACCUGGGAGGGAUAAAGUGUCUGAGACACGGAGGAGAAAGGGCAGAAGAGGCUGGACUAAAGCCAAGAGGGGUGCCAGGGCAUGAAACGUGAGUGCAGGGGAUCCUGUCACAGCCAAGACCACUCUCCACCCUCAAGGAGCUCACUGCCUAGUGAAGGCACAGGCAUAUGAAUAAAUUAAGUCC